rnacentral:misc_RNA from 1 species
AGCCACUGCUGCAAUUUGUCUUUUAGAAGCUGUUGCAGAAGCCAAUCAACAGUGCCGGUCGAAGUUCCAUUACCAACUAAGAGAGUCUCAAUGAUAGUACCCCAUGAAUCAUUAUCAGUUUUUAAUUUUCUCAGUAGUUGAGUUCCUGUUUCUAUGCUGUCUUCUUUUUGCAAAAAGGAAUCAGACAGAAGCAUCUGCACAAAUCUGACAAGUAACAACAACUCUUCUGGACUCUUAGCAACUUCCAUUUGGGAUAAGCUGCAAUGAGGACAGCUACUCUCAGUUCGAUACUCAAAUUCUCUGA